UUUCGCGGUGAUAAGAAGCUUGGGAAUGUGUGCGCCAGGAGCUUCAUCCAAACAUCUGAAGUCAAGUGUGAAGUCAUCUUGUUUUUGAUGUUUCUAGAGUUAGUUUAUGCAUCUUUGAAUUCUUAAACAUCCUCUGUAAUAUGUUGGUUGGUACUAUAUCAUAGUUACAUUUACGGUAGUUUUACUGUAACCUUAUAAACUUUAAACUGGGGGCUUCAAUCAGAAACAUAUACUCCACUCCCGAUACAUUCACGCGGAAAAAUUUGUUGUAAUUAAAUAGCAAUAAAAGGGAUCAACACAAAGUAAUGGCUACAAGACUUACAACCAUUCGGAUAUCAACAGACUAUAAACAUGGUGAGCAUUUAAGUAAAAGGCUCCAUCUCUACUCGUAGAGAUAAACAGCAACAGCAACAACACCGAUGAAGACGGCAACAACAACAGUAACAACACCACCACCAACAACAACAGUAAGAACAUCAAGCUAUACUUGUUCGUUCACACCAACUAAAAGUUGUGUCAUCUAGUUGACAUGAAACUUGAACCAAUCUGAGAAAAUGAAUCAAAAUUGGAAUUAGAUAAAAAAAAAAAAAAAAAAAAAAUGAAGUGGCAAAGCCAACGUAAUAAACACCUGCCUCCUUAAAUUGGAAGUACUUAAAUUAGAAAAUAUCAGUAAAUUAAUGUUCUGCUCCUACACAUAGAAGUGUGUUGAUAUUCACUGAAGAUGACCUUGCUAAAUAGUUAAUUGAAAAGAAUUGAAGAAAAAAAAAACCUCUUAAGCAGUUGGCCAGAAGAAUUUGGCAUGAUAAUUAGAAUAAAUAUGAAGAGCUUCUUUGCAAAGGUCACUACCUGGAAUUGGACUCGGAAUCUUGGGGUUA
rnacentral:lncRNA from 1 species